rnacentral:tRNA from 1 species
GGGCCCAUAGCUCAACCGGUUAGAGCUCCCCGCUCAUAACGGGGCGUGUCUCGGUUCGAAUCCGAGUGGGCCCA